UACGUAGGGUGCAAGCGUUAAUCGGAAUUACUGGGCGUAAAGCGUGCGCAGGCGGUUUUGUAAGACAGAUGUGAAAUCCCCGGGCUCAACCUGGGAAUUGCAUCUGUGACUGCAUAGCUAGAGUACGGUAGAGGGGGAUGGAAUUCCGCGUGUAGCAGUGAAAUGCGUAGAUAUGCGGAGGAACACCGAUGGCGAAGGCAAUCCCCUGGACCUGUACUGACGCUCAUGCACGAAAGCGUGGGGAGCAAACAGG
rnacentral:rRNA from 1 species